CUGAGUACGUAGGUCACUCUCCCGAGCACACUUUCUCUCUUCCUCUCUCUGAGUUUUCUUGCCUAAUGAAGCUUUUAGGAGUUAAUUAAGUUAAGAAACUCAAGUGCUAGCCCCACACAAAACAGUAGUAGUGCUGAGAUUAGCUCAACACGGAUGCAAUAAAAUUAGUAGUAACUCUCUCCUAAAAAUGAAAACCACAAAAAUCUGUCCCAUUGAAUAAACAAGCUCUGAACGAAGAACAAUUGUGGUGGAUUGAUCCCCACAAGAAUGACUAACCACUGUCCCCUCCGAUUAUUUUUUCCUGCAUAUUCUCUAUACUAAUCUUUUGCAGGAGUCAUGUCGCUGUGGGGGAACAUCAAGGGCAAGGUGAAGAAGCUAGGCUCGUCAUCCCGAUCCCGCAGUUUGCGAGCGUCAUCAGGUUCCCUGGAUGACAUGUCGGUGGAAUCUGUUCGUCGACCGUCACGAUCCUAGGAAGAAGAGGAGGAAGCCCCUGCCUCUCCAGCAGUCCCGAGGCCCUGUCUCAAAAUUAGAGUUCUGACAUCGGUCGAUCAGAUCGUUGUUCGGACUGAUUAUGAGCGGGACGCCCUCGAGUUGUUGAAGAAGCAGUCGUACGACCACGCCAAGCGGUUCGAUACAGAAUUCCUCAUGAUGACAGGACUCCGCCAGGACAUGAACCGCGCGUUCACGGCUGCGGGAUGGUCGCGCUUCGCCGACAUCACCGAACCAGGAAUCUACUGUCCAAAGAUGGUCGAAAUCAGAGAAAAUCCCGGCUGCCCGGCACAUUCCGUGCCGACCGGCAUGACACCUCCACAUAUAUGGGUCCAAUAAUUUUACUAGAGCAAUGUGACACGUUCAUAAGGUUCCAGAACAAGGCGAACAUCUCAUAUCCUGACGGUGGACCCAAAAGGCACAAGGUUCAACUCAAAGACCCACAUGCCAGUGCCAAGAUCGUCAAAUGGGGAAACUACCCAUUCCAGAGGCAAUGUGGAGUAUGGUUGUGCAACGUCGGCGAAGCGAAGGACCGAGGGGGGCCCGGAGGCAGGUUGCCCGGCCCAAGAAAGAGGCAUUCGAGGAAACUAACCAGGGAAUCGAUGUUCAGGAGCAAUCAGGAGCCGUCCACAGGAGGUUGGUGGCCAGAUGGCACACCCCUAGAAAGGCCGGCCUAGGGAGGGCCUCCCGGCCCCACCUUGUAGAGACUCGGCUUCCGGCUUCGCGUGGAAGUUAAGCACCAUCUCUACAGUUGCGUGCACUGGGCGCUACCUAAAUUACCGGCCUUCUACCGACCUUGGAAACCUAUAAAUAGCACUCUCCCCCUCACUUGUAAACACACACUCAAGGAGCAAUUCUCUCUUCUUAAGUCUAGAGUAGGUUAGUAGUUCGGAGUUAGAGACGAGUCGAGCUUGUCUCAGGGAUCCGGAGCCGUCAUCGGAUCUCAGUAUUGUUGGUGUCUCUUAUGCUCAAUCUGAAUAGGUAUUCUGCAAGCGCACAGAAUUCAUCGGUGUAGCACUUCACAUUGGAGUAUUCCAGGGUAUCGUGAAAUCCUCA